rnacentral:rRNA from 1 species
GAUGAACGCUAGCGAUAGGCCUAACACAUGCAAGUCGAGGGGCAUCACAUGAAGUAGCAAUACGGAUGGUGGCGACCGGCGCACGGGUGAGUAACACGUAUGCAACCUGCCUUCAACAAGGGGAUAACCCGUUGAAAGACGGACUAAUACCCUAUAAUACAGGGGCCCCGCAUGGGGAUAUUUGUUAAAGAUUUAUCGGUUGAAGAUGGGCAUGCGUUCCAUUAGCUGGUUGGUGGGGUAACGGCCCACCAAGGCAACGAUGGAUAGGGGAACUGAGAGGUUUAUCCCCCACACUGGUACUGAGACACGGACCAGACUCCUACGGGAGGCAGCAGUGAGGAAUAUUGGUCAAUGGACGCAAGUCUGAACCAGCCACGUCGCGUGAAGGAAGACGGCCCUACGGGUUGUAAACUUCUUUUAUACGGGAAUAAAGUGCCCCACGUGUGGGGUUUUGCAAGUACCUUGCGAAUAAGGAUCGGCUAACUCCGUGCCAGCAGCCGCGGUAA